AUGUGUGUUUGUGGAGCAAACUUCCUACAAGCUUUCCAAGUUCAGGGAAGCUGGGAUCUCAACUGGUCAGUUUUAAUGGCUGAUGCUCAUGUAAAAGUAGUUCUUCUGUUUUCAAUCAUCAGUGUUUCCAGUUCAUACAGAGGAAUCUUUGUCCUUGCUUCACUCCUCACUGCUGAGGUGUCCUGUUUACAUCAGAGUGCUACAAGCUUUAGGAACAGGAGAACAACAUCAUUUAAAAAAAGAAAUAACUUCAAAUCCCUACAGAAGAACAGUUCCCCAGCAUUUUUAGGCAGCAUAUAA
rnacentral:lncRNA from 1 species